AGUAUGGCAAGGCGAAGCUGAACCAGUCAUACGCGUGGGUGAGAAUUCUUCGGUUGUAAAGCCCUUUUGUUGGGAAAGAAAUCCAGCUGGCUAAUACCCGGUUGGGAUGACGGUACCCAAAGAAUAAGCACCGGCUAACUUCGUGCCAGCAGCCGCGGUAAUACAAAGGGUGCAAGCGUUACUCGGAAUUACUGGGCGUAAAGCGUGCGUAGGUGGUCGUUUAAGUCCGUUGGUGAAGCCGGUCAACCUGGGAU
rnacentral:rRNA from 1 species